UACGGAGGGUGCAAGCGUUAUCCGGAUUCACUGGGUUUAAAGGGUGCGUAGGCGGGCAGGUAAGUCCGUGGUGAAAUCUCUGAGCUUAACUCAGAAACUGCCAUGGAUACUAUUUGCCUUGAAUAUUGUGGAGGUAAGCGGAAUAUGUCAUGUAGCGGUGAAAUGCUUAGAUAUGACAUAGAACACCAAUUGCGAAGGCAGCUUACUACACAGUUAUUGACGCUGAGGCACGAAAGCGUGGGGAUCAAACAGG
rnacentral:rRNA from 1 species